rnacentral:lncRNA from 1 species
CAAUUAUAUGUAUAUGUUCUUGUUUCUAGCCCUUACUUUAUGCCUGUUAUUCUCCUCUUGCAGAGGUUCCAGUUACUUAUUAAUAUCUUGGAUUGAUAUUCUGGCUCUGAUGCUCAGUAUCUGUGUGAUGGUGGUUGAGUCAACAUCCUGGUUUCUACCUCUCUCCUGAUCAGCAGCUUAGCUGCUGCCACAGCUGUUCACUCCAGAGGGAGAAAGGUAAUCCCAGGGCUUGCGGCUGUUGCUGAUAAAUGACUACAGCAAUUAGAGGUAACAUCUAACCUGAUUAGUUUGCAAGAUAACAGAAUUUCAGUGU